rnacentral:rRNA from 1 species
GAUGAACGCUGGCGGCGUGCCUAAUACAUGCAAGUCGAGCGAACAGACGAGGAGCUUGCUCCUCUGACGUUAGCGGCGGACGGGCGAGUAACACGUGGAUAACCUACCUAUAAGACUGGGAUAACUUCGGGAAACCGGAGCUAAUACCGGAUAAUAUAUUGAACCUCAUGGUUCAAUAGUGAAAGACGGUUUUGCUGUCACUUAUAGAUGGAUCCGCGCCGCAUUAGCUAGUUGGUAAGGUAACGGCUUACCAAGGCAACGAUGCGUAGCCGACCUGAGAGGGUGAUCGGCCACACUGGAACUGAGACACGGUCCAGACUCCUACGGGAGGCAGCAGUAGGGAAUCUUCCGCAAUGGGCGAAAGCCUGACGGAGCAACGCCGCGUGAGUGAUGAAGGUCUUCGGAUCGUAAAACUCUGUUAUUAGGGAAGAACAAAUGUGUAAGUAACUAUGCACGUCUUGACGGUACCUAAUCAGAAAGCCACGGCUAACUACGUG